CUUUUCUUGGGUGUGAAUCUGUCUUCUUAGUUUACUCCUCUACGAGAGCUUAAUUUCCCGACUCUGCACCCCCCACUACUGUUUAUAUGUGCACGUAUUUAACGAAUGGCGGGAAGUUUGAAAAUGGCCAUGACCAACCAGCUAGAGCAAUCUAACCUUACACUUACAUUUAUAAAAGUGUUUUGUUAUUGUUUUUGUAUAAGUGAACUAUUUUAAUUUUGUCAAAUUUACGUUUUAUAUUAGUAAAAUGUAUCCUUAGAAUUUGAGGAACAAUUUAGUGAUGAUGAAAGAAUAAUAUAUUUUUUAAAUAACGCUUGAACCUGUACCAUACAAGAACGAAAAAAGUUAUGAAAGAAUUUGAUGAUAACAAAUUUUUAUUAAUGUUUAUAGUUUCCAUAAAAAUACUGUGAGAUAAUUUAUACAAGAGCUGGUCCCUGGUUUCCAUUAUGUAAUUCUUUAGUAGGUAUGAUGAGCCUAAUAUCACAGAUCAAGUUUUAAUAACAUUAAAAACUUAUAUUAUGAGUUGUUUUUAUUUAUUGUAUGGUUUUGGUGGUAUACCUAUACAAAACAACUACUGAAAGAUUUAUAAAACCCAUGAAGUACUGGCAGAUAACAUAGUUGUUGAUAUUGAUAGAGAAUAUGUUAACACAGAAGAUAUUCCAUUUAUGAGUACUAAUCUAUAAACAUGUUAUAAAAUACUAUAAAAUUUAACAUUUAUAAUAAAUAUUUAAACCUUUGUUUUAUUGUAUUUAGUUUAUAUUCUUAAUAUACACUUUAUGUUGAA